UUAUUUUAGAAGUUAGAGGGGGGGUUACACAUUUUACCACUUUGGAAAAGUCUCUCGCGCAAACUAUUCAGUUUAGAAAAAAAUUAUAUUAGAAACCUCAAUAUCAUUUUUGAAGACCUAUCCAUAGAUACCACACACGUAGGGGUUUGAUGAAA